CCGCAAGGUCGCAGUGAGCUCAGCGAGCUGUGGAACUGUUCUUGGUGUCUCCGUCGGAGGUUUAUUUUCCUUCCUGCAUUUCACUGUCUCUCUCGGUCUCCAGAGAAAUAUCGAAGAAGAGGAGAGGAAGAAGCGGAGCGAAGCAAACAGUGUUCUUCAAAUCUGCAGCGCGUUGUCGACGAGAGCAGCUGCGUGCCUCAGAGAGCGAUGCAGAGAUCGUGAAAUUUCAGCAGACACAGAGUAGAGGAGGCAAGCCGAGGAAAAGAUCAUGACGCGAAUGAGAGAAAGAGAGAAGGUUGCGGGGAGAGGGGAAGGCGACGUUCUUCUCUGAUCUGCGAGAUAUAGAAAAAAUUCGGCGCCUUGGUGAAGGAACGCGGCACAAGAUGAAAUACGGGAGACAGAGACUUGGAGAUGAAUAGGGCCAAGGGGGAGAGACUAAGAGAGAUGCGAACGGAUAGGUGAAGAGCGAGACGAGGAUUUUCCGCGGGAGAGGAAGAGAAAAACUGGGGGAAAGAUGGAGAGAGACGGUCAGUGGAAGAGAGAUAUCAAGGAAGAUCGAAAGAGACACAGGUCGACUUAAAAACGUUUAGGCAAUGCGAUACACCACUCACCCUCAGGUGAAAGGAUAGAGAUCUGCGUAGCUCCACCUUCGUACGUAAACAUGGACUGAUGCAGAUACCCACAGAUCACAG
rnacentral:lncRNA from 1 species